GGCGACGUGGCGGAGUGGUUACGCAGCGGAUUGCAAAUCCGUGCACGCCGGUUCGAUUCCGGCCGUCGCCUCCA
rnacentral:tRNA from 3 species